AAGUCGUAACAAGGUUUCCGUAGGUGAACCUGCGGAAGGAUCAUUACCGAAUUGUCAACACGAGUUGUUGCUGGUCCUCAAACGGGGACACGUGCACGCUCUGUUUGUACAUCCACUCACACCUGUGCACUCUCUGUAGUUCUGUGGCCUGGGGGCUCCGUCUCCCCUGCUGUGGUUCUAUGUAUUUAUACACACACACCGCAACAAAGUCUUAUGGAAUGCAUGUCGCGUCUAACGCAAUACAAUACAACUUUCAGCAACGGAUCUCUUGGCUCUCGCAUCGAUGAAGAACGCAGCGAAAUGCGAUAAGUAAUGUGAAUUGCAGAAUUCAGUGAAUCAUCGAAUCUUUGAACGCACCUUGCGCCCUUUGGCUAUUCCAAAGGGCAUGCCUGUUUGAGUAUCAUGAACACCUCAACUCUCAUGGCUUGCCAUGAUGAGCUUGGACUUUGGGGGUCUUGCUGGCCUGCGGUUGGCUCCUCUCAAAUGGAUCAGCUUGCCAGUGUUUGGUGGCAUCGCAAGUGUGAUAACUAUCUACGCUUGUGGUUUUCCAUCAGGUAACCUUCAGCGAUGGAGGUUCGCUGGGGCUCAUAAACGUCUCUCCUCGGUGGAGACAGCUCUUUGGACAUUUGAUCUCAAAUCAGGUAGGACUACCCGCUGAACUUAA
rnacentral:sRNA from 1 species